CUGAACUCUCUGAAUGGUGGUUAAAAAGAUUUGGGAUGUAGUCCGUUUCACUGUCCGAAAUAUUGCGAGAGUGGAGAAGUUCUGUCUUAAAGCCAGAGCCUGAUAUCAAGGGUCAGGGUUAGACGGAAAAUCCUUAUCGUAAACAAGCCGAAUACGGAGAAACGUGCCAUACACCUUGAGAAGGGAGUGCAAGGCGUGAUAAGAAAAUGAUGGGUUAACAUUUAAGGCGGGGUCACACGAGCAACAAACUCCAGAAUUUUCUGCCGAGAUUCAAAGUUGGCAGCAUUUCGCGGCAAAGUAGGCGAAUUUUUUCGAGAAAUCUCGGCAAUCAGUAUGUUGGUUAUUUUCUUCCGAGUUCGGCAAUUGUUGUGAGCGCAAGAAGAAGAGGAAGUCGUCCGCUGAGCGUCCCUUGUGUUUACAACAAUGAGUUCUGUGAAAUUUGAAAAGGUUCCCUGAUCACGGGAGGCUGAGGCACUGCUUUUGGAAUUGAUAAGAGAACACCGCAAUGUGUGGGAUCCUAAACAACCAGAUUACCACAAAAUCAAGCUGAGACAGGAGGUUUUCUCUCAGAUUGCCAGUGUCAUAAGGCAACAGUUUGAGGAGCUCCGCCAGCUAACUGGAGUUUAACUUGGUGCCGACACUUUGCCUUUCACCAGAUGGCUCUAUGAGGGAGGAGGAAAUGCCUUGUCUAACUAUGCUGGACCUACAGGUGACAGAUUAUGAGACUGUGCUUUCUGGAGAGGUUACACGCCUGCAACAGGAAUCCAGCCCACAGCCAUCACUUGGUACUAGUAGCAGUGCUGAAGCUGGUGCUCCGUGUCACCAAAAAUUGCCAGUGAGGCCCACGGCAACAAGGAAAAGAAAGAGGCCAUCAAGUGUUGCCUCAGAUGUUGACUCUUGUGUGGAGACAUUGCAAACUUAUGUGAACAAUAUUAACAAAAAAAAAAUCAGCGUCUGUUGAGGCUUCAAGCUUGGGAAACAUUGUGGAAGCAACCUACGACAAACUUAUACAUACAAAUCAAAUAUGGUUCAUGCAAGAAGUUGUGAAAUUGGUUGCAAAAGCCAAAGCUCUACCAUCAGAAAAUGAGACAGUAAACUAAUCUUGCUGC